AUGAAUGGGAAUACUGUACAGUGGCGUUUAACAGGCUUUUAUGGGCACCCCAACUGGAGUGACCGUGCUUUGUCAUGGGAUGAUAUUCGAAAUUUGUAUAAGAAGGGCGAUCACCCAUGGGUAGUUUUAGGAGAUUUUAAUGAAAUUUUGUUAUCAUCAGAGAAAGAGGGAGGGAAUGUGAGACCAAAUGUGAUGAUGAGAGAUUUUCGUAAUUGUUUGGGAGAUUGUGGACUAGCAGAUAUGGGAUGUAUGGGUGACUUAUUUACAUGGAGGAGCGGCGAAAUCAGGGAAAGACUAGAUCGAGCGGUCUGUAAUGUGGAUUGGGCGAAUAAAUUCCCUCGAGCGGCGGUUAUUAACGAAGAACAUGUACACUCAGACCAUCACCCUAUUAUUUUAGACACGGAAUAUUUUGACGAUAAUAUUUUUGACCGCUCAAAAAGUCGAAGGAAACAUUUUGAAGCUCGACGGCUGAAAGAAGAGACGGUUACGGAAGUUGUACGUACAGCUUGGGAAAAACGAAGAUGUUGGGCAUAG
rnacentral:rRNA from 1 species